AUGGGGAAGUAUAACUGGAACCAGUCCUCCCACCCCCUGGGGGUCUUCACUUUCCCAGUCUACAUCUGCCUGUGACUUCAGAAAGACAAACUACAGUUUGGCCAAGCUGCCUGAAGACCCAGCCCGACAGCGACGGGUGCCAGGCCGCGUCGCCCACCAGGGCAGCUGCUCUCUCGACUCGCGUGGGGGGCAUCACCUCCCCUCGGUGCCUCCGCGGGGAUCCCCAGGGCCUCAGACCUUGCGGCCGGCGGCGCGGGAGUGUGGCGGGGCAGGGACCGGAGGCGACCAGACGGAACCCCGGAUUUAGGCCGCCUGCAUUCCAGCCACUGGAGUGGCCACUGGGGCGCCCCUUCCAUCCUGGUUAAAUUCUCAUUGUGACCCCCAGCCUCCGCCUAGGCGGGUUCUCCGCCGCUCAGGCCGGAAGAGGUCACGACUCCGGGCAGGGUGGACCCCCAGCUCCAUUUUGGAGGAACUUUCGCCCGAAGCAAGCAGGAAGGGGUUAACCACGAGCCUCCCACCCUCACCUCGCAGCCCCCGGUGGUGGUGCCCGGCGAAGCGAAGGCCGCCGCUUCCCUCCUGAGGUCUCAUUAGGGAAACCCUCGCCGCUAUUUUCAACGUUUCCUCAAUCAAGUGCCUUUAAAUAGAGCUGCACAAACAGAUUGGCGGCAAGAGCGUAGAUCUUGUCACGAUGGAGACCAAUCCAGUAUUUCAGCCUUGUUUGCUUUACAAUUACGGGUUGGCUUGUGGCUGCGGUGCCACCGGGGCAAAUCUGCAGCCGCUGGCUUUCUCCUCUGCGCUCCGGGCGGGCGGGUGGAGGAAGCGACCCUCGGAGUCACAGCCGGGAGGAAAGGGGGGCGCGCGCACUGGGGUUUGGGGACGGCGGCGCGGGGCAGAGGGGCCUCGCUUGUACCCCAGGGCCGCGGGCGCGCACGGCUGUGUUGAAGGACACACUUUUCAGGCUCCUGACAGCCACUGAGCUAUGUGCAACAAUAAAGUGCGUGAUUCGCGUUUGGAAACCAGUGUCGUGCCCUCACCAGCUUCCCUUCCUGGCCCGCUUUCCCCUCUUCUCUACCUCCGUUUCAUUUUUCUCCAGAGUAUGCUGGUGGUUUGCUGGAUUUCCCUUCUCCCUCGCUGUUCAACGGCUAGCAUGAUUUGUUACAUUUUCCACAGCUGUUUAUUCUUGUUUCACUUUUUGUACAAAGUCACUUUAAAUCUGCUGCAGGAAGAAUAAAGCUCCUAGCCCUCUGGAUGGGAUCCCGCAGGCGAGUGGCUGUCCCCGACCCACUUUUGAUUCUUUGGAGGCGGCUCUUCUGUGUAAAUUAGCCCCUGGGUGCGUUCGCUCACCUCUAGGCCAGCCUAGUUUGUAUCCGCAGUACAGUAGUGAACUCAAAUCAGGUCGUAAGCCUUAUAUUUCACAGACAAUUACCUCUUGGCUGCUGUUGAACAAAACUGUAAUAUUUACUCCGCUCUAUACCGAGGAGCACUUUUAAAGCAAAAGAAACAAAACAAAAUACAAAUACUAUAUUUCAAAAAGAAAAUAUGACAAUAAAUCUCUUUUUUAUGGAUUCUCUCUGCAGAAAUGGAAACAACAUGAUUUACAUCCCUGGCACUCCCACCCCCUUUUCAGACACAGCAGAAGUUGUGCAGAUUCUGUCUUCUAACACAUAAUCUCUCUCUCUGGGGGGAGGCACUUAGGUAGGCUACAUUCGAUUUCAUUUCUAAGGUUUCAGGCCCCUCCCCGACCCGUGUAGUAUGCAACAAGGGUUAUCAAAUAAUAAGGUUUUGGUUGUAAAGUCUACUGCACACAAGAAUUCAAAAUGAUGGGCAAGACAUGGGUAAUUAUGUUACAACUUCAUAUUACUUUCCAAAUGAAUACCCAUUUUCUUCUCAUGUCAACUUCUAGAAAUGGGAAGCUGAGGCAGAGAAAUAUUUUUACGAGACUCUGGAGUACAUAUUAAAAUGUGUUUCUUUAUUAUUUGAGAAUGUGUAAGGUAUGGACCUAGAUUUGUUUGCUGGUGGUCAUAAAAUAAAUUCAUAGCCAUUGUGGCCAAUAAGCAAUCUCCUUCAUGCUUUAAAAGUUCUUGGUUUAUAAUCCCACCUGGAUUGUAUUUUCACUAUUCUGUAUCACCCUCCUUUUGCAAUAUUUUGGUUCUCAAUAUUAUGUAAAACAAACCUUAGAAAUAAUCAUUUCCAUAAAAUUGUGCAAUGGGAAAGCCACAGAAUAUUUUGAAUCCAUAUUGUUAUGCAUGCUCAGGUAUAUAGCUCUUUCACAGUUUUCUAGCUAACCAAUUGCUUUAGUAUUUCAAGAAAUAGGAAGCAGUAGCUACCAAGGAUACCAUUUCAUAAGAAUUGUAUUUUCAGAGAAAAAAUUGGUCUGGGGCAUUAUUCAAUGCAAAAAAAUUAUAAUAUCACUUUCAUAUGUGUUAAUCUGUUUAGUAUUAAAACUGCUAACGUGUCUUAACCAUGAACGUGUUUUGCCAUACCACUUUCAAAUGGGUGAUCUGAGAUAAUUACACAGAUUUUGAUGUUAAUCCCAUGUUAAGUGAACAACUAUGAAAAUAAUCUUAAAGCAUUAUUAUUCUCUUGUAAGUGCCAGCAAACACAAUUGUAGAGAGAACAUGAUUACUUUUUAUCUGACAUUAUCCCAUAAUGGUAUGGCUACAUUUAUUUCUUUUAAAAUUGGAGCAGUUUUCAAUUACUUUUUAACAGAAUUGUUUUCAACACAGCAUUUAGCCGUGCCCAUAAAUCAUUGAAACUUUGUACUGACCAAUACAUAUUUUUCUACAUUAUUAUUUAUUAGCCUUUUUGCAAACUCAAUAAAAUAGAAUAGUAUUAAAAAUAUGAACAUACAGAGAACAAUUAUUAGGUUCUACAUAUUUAUUUAGGUAAACCAAUGUUAUUAAAAUUAAAAACAUGUGCCUGGCAUAUAAGUGCUUCUUUAGGAAUUCUUUUUUGGAUUCCUAGUUAUUAUUUUUUAAACCAACUCAGAUUUUCAAAUAUUGAUUUGCUUCUCUGAAUAGGCAUGGCAUUGUUUUAAACAGUAGCUCUUGGAAUAAUGCCGUCUUUAGUAUUUUAGACUUUCAAAUAACAAUUGGAAUUGGAUAAAUGCUUUCAGCUGGGAGCACUUUCCUAAUACCUUUGUAGGUAAUGUGAUUCUUUAUUUGUGCUGGGUGACAAAUGGACAGUGGCCUGGACAGACUGCUUACCCUCUGUAGAAUUUACCAAAAAGUAAAGUUUUCCUAUGAGAUUGCUUGUGGUACAUAUAAAAAUGAAAAAAAAAAUCAGAAAAUGAGCAAGGACUUUUCUAACUACAGGUAUGAAAUGAUGGUUUAAAAGGGAAUUUAGAAAAUAAGACUGGAGUAAUACAGAAACAAAAUCUGAAAAAUAAAGUUUGCUUAGACAGGAACUGGCUCUUUGUCUAUAAACCAGAGGCUAAGUAAGGAGUUGGAUCCAAACGCAUUGAAUUAUUUUUGUUUGAUUGUUUAUUUUCUUCCAUUCAGUGCCUUUUAAAUUGUUUUUUUACUGGAUGAAGAAACUCGACCAAGAAAAUGUAUGUCAAUUCUUUUAAAUGGGACAAUAUUAGCUGCUGCAAUUUUUAAUACUAGCAUAAAAUAUAAGAAUCUUUUUUUAUUACUAUAUAUUUUUUUCCCUAAAUGAAUGCAUAGUGUAACGAUUGGUGUCAAAAAGCACUGAUUUUUUUUUUUCAAAUGGAUUAAAUUGGAAUAAUAAGCUAUAGCCAUGAGGUGAUUUCUGUGAAGUCUGACUUGCUAAGAAGAAAGUGAAAAAGGUUUUUCUGGCAGAAAUAUGGCAACUUAACUGUUAUUAAUCUAGACUAAAUAAAACAGAAAACUGCCUCUUUACAUUUAUAGUAAUUUUUUCUGCCUUUCCAAACAUUGUUACGUUCUAUGCAACUUGUGCUAUUCAAGUAAAGAUGAUAUCAGUAAUAAAAUUACAGAAUCUAA